UUAUUUAUAUUUUUUUUCUCUAUUUUUAAAUAUUUUAUUAAAUUAAAUGAUAAGUUUACUUGAGAUAUUUUAUGAGACCGAGAGAGUAUAAAUUUUAUAAUGAUUUUUUUAUGAGAUAGGGAAAGUAAUAUAAUAUCUCAUAGACGGAGGUAGAGAGAGAAUGAGAUACUCAGAAGUAGAACAUCUUAAGGGGGAAUUCUCAGGCCAAAAUACAGCAAAUGAAGAUAGAAGAGAGAAAGGCAUGGAGAGUAAACGAGGUGGCUGGUCAGCCUUCCCCUUUAUCACAGGUAAUCUCUCCUCUCUCCUAUUAACUCUAAAAAUAAUAUAUAUAUAUAGGGAAUCGGUCCAUAACUGACAUUGUAAAAAAAAAAUAUCUUUAUAACACAUCGUGAUUCUCCAUCUUAAGAUCUAACAGUUUAAUAGAGCUCUCGUCCGCAAUUUAAUUUCAAGUAUUUUGCAGUAUAAUACUGUGGACGCUAAUUUUUCAAUUCUCAAAACGUAAUUCAUCAUCUUCUUUUUUCAAGAACAAAACCCAACCCAAUUCACAGCAUGAAAAACCCAUCAAAAUCAAAGAAUUCAAUUACAACCAUCUUGAAGCAGCCAACAACAAAUUCUCUCCGAGGCAGAGGAAGCCAUGUCUUAGUCUAUGAAGUUGUUUUGAAGAAUGGUCGGCAUGUUGCUGUGAAAAGACCCUCUAGAGGUACCCAUUCUAAGCCUCGAUUUUCUUCUUCUUUGACACCUGAAAACCAAAAUGAGAGAAUGAAAUCGAUAUUUUGUCAAAAAUUCAUAGUCCUAGACUUGUUAUACAGUUGAAGGCAUGACAUGAGAUUUUUAUCUGGAGGAGACUUCGGAUCAUUUGUCGAAGUCUGGAGAGACCUUGCCGCCGAAGUGGUCCCAAGUGAUCGUAGCAUAACUUCGGAUCUUUUGCCGAACUCUUUUUUCUUCUUUGGCUGAAGUUCUAAAGGGCCGAAGUUCACACCGAACUGCAAUGUAUUGUUGUGCUUGACAUAUCUAACAAAGGAAGAAGAUUAGAAGGCUUCCAUUCGUCACCACAAUUUCCAGAUCUCACUAAUCCAAAUACAUGUAUCACCAGAAUAAACGGGUUGGGAAAGAAAAGAUAUUCCAGUCUCCUAUGGGUGCCAAAGAUUUUUUUUAGUACAAGAAGGGGUAUUUUGAACAUUUGUCUUGUCCACAAAAUUAAACUACGGACGGGAGAUUAAUUACAUUGUUAGAUUUACGAUUGAAUGAUCACAAUUUGUUGUAAAGAUAAUCUUAAAUUGACACUGUUUGCUAUGGAUCGAUCGAUCCCCAUAUAUAUGUAAUUCUGUAAUUAAGCACACCUAGAGGGGGUGAAUAGGUGUAAAUACUUAGAAGUGAUCUACAGUGGCCAAUUUUCAAAGUUUACUAUAGCAGACUGUAAUCGGACGGUCUAACCCUGUCCGUAUUAAUUAUAUACUUUGUCUGUUAUAAACGGACAACUAAUACCUGUCCGUAUUAGUGUAAAACUUUUUUGACGUAAACAGAAACUGCAGAAUAUUGAAG
rnacentral:lncRNA from 1 species